AUGGUAGGAGCUUGGAAAUGAACGGGUCAAAUGGAUACAAGUUCAAGUAUGAAGCUCGCAAGGAUGCAAGGUAAGUAUAACUUACACUAGUCAUAUAUUUUAAAAUGUUCUUUUGUCAUAUUGACUACGAAUAAGACAAAUGGUAAUUUAGUCACACGUUGACAAUAAUCGUUAGUUUUAAAAGACGCUUUCCCGCGAAAGACAUAAAGAGCCGAAAAUGGUAAUAAACGGUUUAUAAAUAAAAUGAGCAUACGGUGUUAAAAGGAGCGAGUCAUGUAGAUGAGAUGAUAAUAAAUAUUAUCUCGCAAAGAUAAACGGUCAAUUCGGCCAAACGGGUCAAAAGGUGUAGACAUCACCUUUUGACAAUAUCGACUAAUGAUUCUGGUGUCGAGUUAUAUGUUUACAGGAGUAGAUAUCCAAUGGAUACUCGCAUCGCUCUUAAUUAGCAAUUAUAAAGCAAGGUAUUAAACCGGGUUAGUAAGUUGAUCCGAGCCAGGUAUGUAUAAUAGAUUAACUUAUCAUGUAGAACUUGAAGUUCUAUGAAAGUUAGGCAAAAUAAAAAAAAAGGCAUUCGGUUACCUUAAUAGGUAAACCGAAGGAUUUAAAUUAUUUAGACAGAAUGUUUUGAAAACAAGAUUUGGUUAAAAAUGAGAAAUUAGAAUCAAACAACAG
rnacentral:lncRNA from 1 species